rnacentral:sRNA from 11 species
GUCAGUAACUCAGUCCUAAAGAGACUGAGCUUGUAAGAAAUUGCAAGCUGUACUGACCAGUCUAAGUCUUCACUGACUACGUUUUUUGAGUCACGACACCCUGGAAUGCGUAGCUAGUUCCCUGCUCUGUC